UACAGAGGGUGCGAGCGUUGUUCGGAAUUACUGGGCGUAAAGCGCGCGCAGGCGGCCCUUUAAGUCUACCCGUGAAAUGCCGGAGCUCAACUCCGUGCACGCCGGGGGAUACUGGAGGGCUGGAGACGAGUAGAGGCAAGCGGAAUUCCGGGUGUAGCGGUGGAAUGCGUAGAGAUCCGGAAGAACACCGGAGGCGAAGGCGGCGCUCUGGGCCGGAACUGACGCUGAGGAGCGAAAGCGUGGGUAGCAAACAGG
rnacentral:rRNA from 1 species